rnacentral:rRNA from 1 species
GACGUAGGGCGCGAGCGUUGUCCGGAUUUAUUGGGCGUAAAGAGCUCGUAGGCGGCUUGUCGCGUCGACUGUGAAAACCCGCGGCUCAACUGCGGGCCUGCAGCCGAUACGGGCAGGCUAGGAGUUCGGUAGGGGAGACUGGAAUUCCUGGUGUAGCGGUGAAAUGCGCAGAUAUCAGGAGGAACACCGGUGGCGGAAGGCGGGUCUCUGGGCCGGUACUGACGC